rnacentral:lncRNA from 1 species
GAACCCCAGCUGCAAGUGAGACUGGAAAAAUGGCUCUCAGAGUUCCCGCCUCUGCAGUAGAGGAAGACACUCCAGAAGGAGUUGAGAAUGGGUGCUGAGUGCCUCUUCAGGAUGUCUGUCACACCUCAGGAAACCUGCCAGGAAUACCAAAGGGAGUGAAAAAUCCAAGGUUGGGAAGCCCUGGGACAUUGAAGUUACAACUGGACGAUAAAAACAGAGUUUUUUCCUUGUGACGUGACCACUGUGAUGUAAAGCUGUAUCUCCUUCAUUUCAUCAAGAAAUUCUUAAAAUUCUCCCCCAACGUGCUUUCAUCUUUCCCUUCAUUGCCAACUCUGAAUACUUGUCAUUGAAAUUAGGGCCCACCUGGAUAAUCCAUGAUGAUCUCAUCUCAAGAUCCUUAACUUAAUGACAUCUGCAGAGACUGGUUUAUCAAAUAAGGGACUGUGGCUAUAUCGCUGACCUCAAGAAAACCUGCGGACAAAAUCUGCUAAAGAAGUAUCAGCAUCUAUUUCAAAAGUUAGCCAUUAUUUUAAGAAGACUGUGCUGGAAGACGGGUAUUUAACACAAACAGAUGCAAAAGGUUGGUUUCCCUCCAAGCUGGGAUUUGAACUCUCUUAUCUCCAGGGUUAGGGUUGCAGACGGAGUUGUAAGGACAGAAAGGGAAGAGGAAUACACACAUUUUUAGCUGACGGACUUGGCCCCAGCU